rnacentral:rRNA from 1 species
AGCUCCAAUAUUGUAUAUUAAAGUUGUUGUAGUUAAAAAUCUUGUAGUUUGAUUUCUGGUGGGAGCAAUCAGUAUGGCACUUUGUGUUGUAGCUUACAUUUUCUCUAACUAGCAUUGGAAAGAAUCAGUCUGGCAUUAUGUUGUUGGGCUGAAGAUUUCCAUCUUUUACUGUGAAAGAUUAGAGUGUUCAAAGCAGGCUUAAGCCGCUGAAUAUAUAAGCAUGGAAUAAUGAUAUAUGAAUUUGGUGCUAUUUUGUUGGUUUACGUGCCAUAGUAAUGAUUAAUAGGGAUAUUUGGGGGUAUUUUUAUUCCAAUGUCAGAGGUGAAAUUCUUGGAUUUUUGGAAGACAAACUACUGCGAAAGCAUUUACCAAGGAUGUUUUCA